AGGCUUAUCUGGAACAGUAGUUUCCAGCUCCUGGUCCUCUUUUGAAGACCGUAGAGCUUUCAGAGGUAGGGCUGACGUGGCAGAGACAGAGCAUUUGAGAGAAGACUAAGGCCUGCUUUCUCUUCCUGCUGCUCACUCCAUGAGAACACACCUCUGUCCUUGUCUACAGCCAUGCCUUCUCCACUAGCAAAACCUCAACAGACACUGUGAAGGAGAACCAGCUCUCUCUCCCAUAAGCCCACUAGGCAUUCUGUCCACGGAAUGUCGUAGUAACUAAGACAACGCUUCCUUCCCACUGCCACGAUUCAGUUAUGCAUGGGCAGCUUUGGCCAAAAAACACUACCCGGAGAGUUUUACAAAGGAAGAAUUCUCAACUUUUAAAUCAUGUUUAAUAGGCUGUAUAUAACAGGUGGGGAACAGUGUGGAGCGGAGUUUCCCAAGGGCUGACAUCUUCAUACCUGGAGGCAGCAUGUUCACACUGGGGCAAAGGAGGUCACUGAAAAUGAUCAGCUGUCCAGCUCUUGCCCAAGGGCAGAUGGCAGGGAUGGCUGUAGGUUUUCUAACAUGAUGAACCCACACACAGAGCAUCAGAAGGGGAGCCGGGGCCAAGUAUUUUUUCAAGUCCAGGCAUUUUCUCAAAAUCUACAACCAGGAUAGCUCCAGAGAAGCAACCCACAGAUGCUCCAGCUACUCUCACAGACACAGCUUCUUCUACUGGCCCUGCUCCUUCCUACCUACAGAUGGUUCCACAGACUCUGGACAGCAAGGAAACAGCCAACUCUCCUAAGACUGGACCAACAUCCUCAGCCACAGUUUUUUUAGGUUUCCCAGAGACACAUCACCCCAAAGUCAGCAGGAAGCAGCUAAAGAUUAUGAUGACCCUAUUCCUGCUUCACCAUUUCACCAUCACCUUUCUAGUUUCUCCUUUUUAAAUUAAACCGAAACUGAGGAAUGUUAGAAUUCCUUCUAGGCUCUGCCCAGCAGUUACCUGGCAACAGUCAGAUAGGCCUGGCUUGCCAUAAAGGGGACUGUUUGGCACCCCCUCACUCUCUACCCUUUCUCUCUCUUUGACUCUCUUCUCUCCCUGACCCCUCUCUCCCCUCUCUCUUUAUGUGUUCCUGAUCGGUCUCCCCCCCCUUCUCUUUCUUCCUCCUCCUCCU